rnacentral:rRNA from 1 species
AUACGUAGGGGGCGAGCGUUGUCCGGAAUGGCUGGGCGUAAAGGGCGUGUAGGCGGCCGAUUAAGUCUGGAGUGAAAGUCCUGCUUUCAAGGUGGGAAUUGCUUUGGAGACUGGUUGGCUUGAGUGCGGAAGAGGUAAGUGGAAUUCCCAGUGUAGCGGUGAAAUGCGUAGAGAUUGGGAGGAACACCAGUGGCGAAGGCGACUUACUGGGCCGUAACUGACGCUGAGGCGCGAAAGCGUGGGGAGCGAACAGGAUUAGAUACCCUGGUAGUCCACGCGGUAAACGAUGAAUGCUAGGUGUAGGGGGUAUCGACCCCUCCUGUGCCGGAGUGAACACAAUAAGCAUUCCGCCUGGGGAGUACGGCCGCAAGGUUGAAACUCAAAUGAAUUGGCGGGG